rnacentral:lncRNA from 1 species
GCCAUAUAGCUUCCAAACAUAAUUAAUAGUGAACUUAAACAAGGAACACUUUUUGAAGGGAAUCUAUGUCAUGAAGAAAUGAAAUAGAGCUCAACUGUUAAAUCUGAAACACGAACACAGCCUGCUUGCUUACUGAAGACCAUACAUUUAGCUUUGGUUCAAGUGCUUUGUGCCCCUGUAUGGUUCAUACAGCACUACUCUAUCCCUUUAGUUUAGAACACCACUGUGAACUUCCCAGGAAAGUUAU